rnacentral:miRNA from 1 species
AUUGCCCUGGUUGCAGGCGGGUGCCUGGUCGGUAACACUGCGCAGUCUAAGUUAACGCAUAGUGUUUCCGACCGCGGCGUCCGCCCGACCGAUAUCGGCAGU